GAUGAACGCUGGCGGCGUGCCUAAUACAUGCAAGUCGAACGGAGUACCGCAAGGUAUUCAGUGGCGAACGGGUGAGUAACGCGUUGGUGACCUGCCCCGAAGAGUGGGAUACCAGUUCGAAAGGACUGCUAAUACCGCAUGUGGACAUUGGGAUUAGAUGCUUGAUGUCGAAAAGAGAAAUCUGCUUCGGGAGGGGCCUGCGUCCCAUCAGCUAGUUGGUAAGGUAACGGCUUACCAAGGCGAUGACGGGUAGGGGACCUGAGAGGGUGGCCCCCCACAAUGGAACUGAAACACGGUCCAUACACCUACGGGUGGCAGCAAUAGGGAAUAUUGCAAAAUGGGCGAAAGCCUGAUGCAGCAACGCCGCGUGUGCGAUGAAGGCCUUCGGGUCGUUAAGCACUUUUUGGAGGGAUGAGGAAGGACAGUACCUUCAGAAUAAGCCUCGGCUAACUACGUGCCAGCAGCCGCGGUAAAACGUAGGAGGCGAGCGUUAUCCGGAU
rnacentral:rRNA from 1 species